AUCAGAACUAUUCAGAUACCCAUCAUCUGUGAGUGUAAAUGUACAAUGUAGUCCGGGCUUUCCAUGGAAUCUUGUUCAGUAAGAAAUAAUACAUGCGAUCAUUUGUGACUUAGUCAACCUUCUCUUAUUCAAACAAAUCCCUGACACAAUCACCUUACAGGGAGGAAAGGAUUAUAUUGGCACCUGGUUGAGGAUUUUCUAGUUUCCUGGCCUCAUUGCUUUGUGUCUGAAGUGAGGCAGCCUGUGGAUUAGAGAGCUCCUUUUGGAGGAAGCUGUUUACCUUGGAGACACUGGGAAGCACUGGGUGAAGCUAUUGGCUGCUUCACCACCAUCCUGUCGUCCAGUGCUGGGGAUCCAAGCCUUUAGUGCAUGGACUGGGGAACUUGAUGAACAGGCACGGCUUAUAGGCCAAACACCCCACAAGUCCAUUUUUUUGUGCACUGGGUUUACAAGGUUUGUGCACUUCAUUGACUGGUCUGUCCAUCUGUCCUGCCCACUGUGUUCUUCCAUCUAAGGAAUGUUCAGUUUCUUCUUAAAUGUCCUGGGUGAUCUUUUCUUAUAUUAGCAUUAUCUGGGAAACUAAACAUGUGAAUGCAAUGUAGUAUGCUUGUAUGUGUACACACUUGUACGUGUGUGUUCAAGAGUGUGUGUGUUUAGGAGUGUGUGUGUGUCUGUGUGCAUAUGAGUGUUCAACCCUGCACUAAGAACAUAAUCUUCUACUAAACAGAAGCAGGAAAGAUUGGAGGAGAGACUGCAAUACCUGCUGAAGCAGAGAGAUCUGGUCACCAAGCACAAGGUCUUGGCAGAAAAGCUGCAGCAUUACUUCACUGUCUCCCAGAUGAGCACCACUUAAGAGAACUCCACUCUAGCAUCAACACCUCCUCAACAAAAGACAUCUUGUAGCUGUGAACUAACCAGUGAGGAAAAUCCCAACCUACAAGCAGCGGAUCCAUGUGUCUGUUGGUGCAUUAUUCCAGGAGAAGAUAAAUCAUCAGAAAGAAGCUUGAGCGACAGAGGACCUGCCAAGAUUACUCAGAACCCAGCCAUCUAUUAACAAGUGGUCCUCAAACGGGGCACAGCAGCAUGGGGAGGGUAUGUUGGUGAGCCAGAGUUACUCUGUCAGUGUACUCUCCAUGUCUUUAGUAAGCUGUCUGAGUCCUCCACAUGUGGUGAGAAACCUGACAAGAAAGCCUGCAUGGCUGUCAUGCUGUUAUCUAUACAUACCACAUGGAGAAGAAUAGGAUUCCCUCCCCAGAGCAAUGCUGAAGCCAACUCCAUGUCACGCGAAAGUGUUGCUGAAGAUGACGCACUGCAGAGACUACAGCACUCCCUCACACCUAUGUGAGUCAGUCAUCGGGUCUUCCAUAAAGAAAAGGACUAGGGAUUCUCCAGCUUCGCAGCCUGGACUGGCAUGACUGGUCCUGAGAAAGAACUUAUAGAGGAGGUCUGAGUCAUCUUUGUGCUUUGGAAAGCCAAAUGUGCUCCAUUGAUUUGUUGGGUCUAGAGUAGAAGAAGAUUUGUAGCUUAAAUUUUUGGAGAGGUCUUUUCUUUGCUGGGGUUUUGUUUGCUUGGUGUUUUUAGUUUAGUUUAGUUAGAAAUUUUGUUAUUUUUUGUUAAUUCUUUUAUUCUUGUCAGUGUUUUAAUAGUUGGCUAAAUAUAUACACUGCAUUUACUGACUGCCUUUUAAAAGUCCCCACUGAAGACUUUUUAUGAAUAAAAAAGCAAUUUCCAACUCUUCA